rnacentral:rRNA from 1 species
GAGUUUGAUCUUGGCUCAGAUUGAACGCUGGCGGAAUGCUUUACACAUGCAAGUCGAGCGGCAGCGCGGGGCAACCUGGCGGCGAGCGGCGAACGGGUGAGUAAUGCAUCGGAACAUGUCCAUGUCGUGGGGGAUAGCCCGGCGAAAGCCGGAUUAAUACCGCAUACGCCCGAGAGGGGAAAGUGGGGGACCGCAAGGCCUCACGCGAUUGGGUUGGCCGAUGUCCGAUUAGCUAGUUGGCGGGGUAAGAGCCCACCAAGGCGAUGAUCGGUAGCUGGUCUGAGAGGAUGAUCAGCCACACUGGGACUGAGACACGGCCCAGACUCCUACGGGAGGCAGCAGUGGGGAAUUUUGGACAAUGGGGGAAACCCUGAUCCAGCCAUUCCGCGUGAGUGAAGAAGGCC